rnacentral:rRNA from 1 species
UACGGAGGGGGCAAGCGUUAUCCGGAAUUAUUGGGCGUAAAGCGUCCGUAGGUGGUUGAGUAAGUCUGCUGUUAAAGAGUGAGGCUUAACCUCAUAAGGGCAGUGGAAACUCUUCGUCUAGAGUGCGACAGGGGCAAGGGGAAUUCCUAGUGUAGCGGUGAAAUGCGUAGAGAUUAGGAAGAACACCAGCGGCGAAAGCGCGCUACUGGGCCAUUACUGACACUCAUGGACGAAAGCUAGGGGAGCGAACAGG